rnacentral:rRNA from 1 species
GAUGAACGCUAGCGGCAGGCCUAACACAUGCAAGUCGAGGGGUAGAAUUAGCUUGCUAAUUUGAGACCGGCGCACGGGUGCGUAACGCGUAUGCAAUCUACCUUGUACAGGGGGAUAGCCCAGAGAAAUUUGGAUUAAUACUCCAUGGUAUAAAUUGAAUCGCAUGGUUUGAUAUUAAAGUUCCAACGGUACAAGAUGAGCAUGCGUCCCAUUAGCUAGUUGGUGUGGUAACGGCAUACCAAGGCGACGAUGGGUAGGGGUCCUGAGAGGGAGACUCCCCCACACUGGUACUGAGACACGGACCAGACUCCUACGGGAGGCAGCAGUGAGGAAUAUUGGUCAAUGGUCGGAAGACUGAACCAGCCAUG